GGCCCCUUCGUCUAUCGGCUAGGACGCGAGACUCUCAUUCUCGAAAGAGGGGUUCGAUUCCCCUAGGGGCUA
rnacentral:tRNA from 1 species